GAUGAACGCUGGCGGCGUGCCUAAUACAUGCAAGUCGAGCGAACAGACGAGGAGUUUGCUCCUCUGACGUUAGCGGCGGACGGGUGAGUAACACGUGGAUAACCUACCUAUAAGACUGGGAUAACUUCGGGAAACCGGAGCUAAUACCGGAUAAUAUAUUGAACCGCAUGGUUCAAUAGUGAAAGACGGUUUUGCUUUCACUUAUAGAUGGAUCCGCGCCGCAUUAGCUAGUUGGUAAGGUAACGGCUUACCAAGGCGACGAUGCGUAGCCGACCUGAGAGGGUGAUCGGCCACACUAGAACUGAGACACGGUCCAGACUCCUACGGGAGGCAGCAGUAGGGAAUCUUCCGCAAUGGGCGAAAGCCUGACGGAGCAACGCCGCGUGAGUGAUGAAGGUCUUCGGAUCGUAAAACUCUGUUAUUAGGGAAGAACAAAUGUGUAAGUAACUAUGCACGUCUUGACGGUACCUAAUCAGAAAGCCACGGCUAACUACGUG
rnacentral:rRNA from 1 species